rnacentral:rRNA from 1 species
AGCGAACGCUGGCGGCAUGCCUAACACAUGCAAGUCGAACGAGACCUUCGGGUCUAGUGGCGCACGGGUGCGUAACGCGUGGGAACCUGCCCUUAGGUUCGGAAUAACUCCCCGAAAGGGGUGCUAAUACCGGAUAAUGUCUUCGGACCAAAGAUUUAUCGCCUUUGGAUGGGCCCGCGUUGGAUUAGCUAGUUGGUAGGGUAAAAGCCUACCAAGGCGACGAUCCAUAGCUGGUCUGAGAGGAUGAUCAGCCACACUGGGACUGAGACACGGCCCAGACUCCUACGGGAGGCAGCAGUGGGGAAUAUUGGACAAUGGGCGAAAGCCUGAUCCAGCAAUGCCGCGUGAGUGAUGAAGGCCUUAGGGUUGUAAAGCUCUUUUACCCGGGAUGAUAAUGACAGUACCGGGAGAAUAAGCUCCGACUAACUCCGUG